UACGAAGGGUGCAAACGUUGCUCGGAAUUAUUGGGCGUAAAGCGCACGUAGGCGGCAUUGCAAGUCGGAUGUGAAAUCUUAUGGCUUAACCAUAAAAGUGCAUCCGAAACUGCAGUGCUUGAGUACUUAAGAGGAUCGCGGAAUUCCCGGUGUAGAGGUGAAAUUCGUAGAUAUUCGGAAGAACACCAGUGGCGAAGGCGACUUACUGGACACAUACUGACGCUGAGGUGCGAAAGCGUGGGGAGCAAACAGG
rnacentral:rRNA from 1 species